GACGUAGGGUCCGAGCGUUGUCCGGAGUUACUGGGCGUAAAGGGCGCGUAGGCGGCUUUGUGCGUCACACGUGAAAGCCCCUGGCUUAACCAGGGAGGGUCGUGUGAAACGGCGAAGCUGGAGGCAGAGAGAGGCUGGUGGAAUUCCCGGAGUAGUGGUGAAAUGCGUAGAUAUCGGGAGGAACACCGGUGCGAAGGCGGCCAGCUGGCUCUGACCUGACGCUGAGGCGCGAAGCGUGGGAGCGACGGG
rnacentral:rRNA from 1 species